UGUAUUCACUACUGUAAGUCGCUCUGGAUAAGAGCGUCUGCUAACCUGUUA
rfam:Salmo salar isolate Sally breed double haploid chromosome ssa12, whole genome shotgun sequence.